GUUUUUUUUUGUAAAAGAUUUAAUCUGCUCCAUGAGAAUUAAAUAGCUGCAGUAAUUUAACUGUACAAAGGUAGCAUAAUCAUUAGUUUCUUAAUUAGGGACUAGAAUGAAGGAUUGGACGAGAAAAUGACUUUCCAUUUUUUAAUAAAUUGAAUUUUAUUUUUAAGUGAGAAAUCUUAAAUAAAUGUAGGGGACGAUAAGACCCUAUAGAAUUUAAUUGUAAGAUACAUAUAUAAUAUAUAGAAGCAUAUUAACAAUUUUAUUGGGGCGAUAAUUUACAAUCAUAAAUAUAAUAAAUAAUUGAUCAAAAAUUUAAAAGAGGAAAAAUUACCUUAGGGAUAACAGUAUAAUUAUUUUUGAGAGUUCAAAUUGACAAAAUAGUUUAUAACCUCGAUGUUGAAUUAAAAUUUAGUUUUGGUGCAGAAAUUUAAGGCUUAGGUCUGUUCGACCUAUAAAAUUUUACA
rnacentral:rRNA from 1 species